UACGUAGGGUGCGAGCGUUGUCCGGAAUUAUUGGGCGUAAAGAGCUCGUAGGCGGUGUGUCACGUCGGCCGUGAAAACCUGCAGCUUAACUGUGGGCGUGCGGUCGAUACGGGCAUCACUGGAGUUCGGCAGGGGAGACUGGAAUUCCUGGUGUAGCGGUGAAAUGCGCAGAUAUCAGGAGGAACACCGGUAGCGAAGGCGGGUCUCUGGGCCGUAACUGACGCUGGAGGAGCGAAAGCGUGGGGAGCGAACAGG
rnacentral:rRNA from 1 species